CUCAUCUGCUUAAUGCUUCUCCAACAUGUCUGCUGAAAAAGAUUUGCCGUCAGGAGCUUUAUCUCCUCACCCUUCCAGAACAACUUCUGAACAUUCCACACAGACCUUGCCAUCAAAGGGAGAGGAUAUUAACAUGAAGCUAAAAGAGGAGAGUCUGCAGGAUGAACCUCCAUUCACCAUAGAGCAAGAGUCUUUGGAGAAGGAAGAAUAUCCAGAGGAAGAAGAGUCUCUGGAGGAGGAAGAAUUUCCAGAGGAGGAAGAGUUUCUGGAGGAGGAAGAAUAUCCAGAAGAGGAAGAGUCUCUGGAGGAAGAUAUGUUUUUGGAGGGAGAAAAUUAUCUGAAAGGAAAAGAGGAUCUUUUUAAAGAAGAGGAUUUGAAGGAGAAAAUGCAUGUGGAAGAAAAAGAGUAUCCUUUUGAAAAGUAUCUGGAACAAAGUGAGUAUCUAUAAGGAAGAGAAUAUCUAGAGAAAGAAAUUUGUCUGGGAGACAGUAUCUGUACGAAGGAGAGCAUCGGAGAGUGAGGGCCCCCCAGAGGAUGGUAGCUCUAGUUCACCACAAUGCCGAGAAGAAAGAACAAAACCUGAGGCGCAGCCAACCACAGACUACUAACCCUAUCCAUGGUGCUGACAGGAGCUCAGCUGCCAGUACUUUUCAGGAAAGCAAGUCUAUUACCAUCCCGCAUAUCUUCACUACCCCUGUUCCUGCCUCUGAGCCUGCCAUGGAGUUUGCCCUGGAGUUGUCUUCCUGCUGCCUGAUGGUUCCUACGUCUUCCCUAAGACACCAGGCUAGUCAGACAGAAUGGACCUAUGAGGGAAAAUCUUCAAUAUCAAAACUGAAAACAGAUCAAGGAAUCUCAAUACUAUCCACUAUGAAGUCUGAUUUGGAAGUUGCCUCUGAAAUGGAGCAAGAUGAAGAUGAAGAUGGAGAUGAUGGGGCCCAGUUAUCCUGUGAGGGUCACUUUCUCCAAGUUCUUGCCUCAGAAGCCACCUCUUCCCGGAAGGAUGAAAGAGAGGCCCACGUUGUGAUUAUCAAUUCCACAAUGCAAUUCGUGCUCUGUCACAGUGGAG
ensembl:lncRNA